CCAUCUCGAAAUACAACAGCAAUAAUAAUAAUAAUAAUAACUGAUUUUCUUCAUAAAUAUCAAAAUAUAUUAAAAGAGGCAAAGUACUAAUCAGAAAUUUGUGCUUUAAAAAAGAUGGUGCCGAUUGGGAGCAGGUAAGAAGAAAAAAGUAAGAAAAAAGUAAAAAUGAGAAAGAAUGUAAAGGAAUCUGCUCCCCCCCACACACACACACUUCACCCUACGCAUAACGAUUACUUAUCAUACUCACUCGCACCUGCGGUGGGGGAGCAAUGGCUGUUUUUUUUAUUCUGUGUCGAUACUUAUGACCUGUAUGGCAUUGAUGGAUCACUUUGAUAAAAAAAAAAAAAAACGUUUGGAACAGAAUUAUUUUUGUAAAUAUCUUCAGUGUGACUGGGUGUGUUUUUUUUUUUGUGUGUGUGUGUGUGUGUGCGUGUGUGCCUGAGUGUGUGUGUAUGCAUGAGGUUUUCUCUCAUUCUUUCAUACUUAAGACUAUGGACAAAUAGGAGGGCAAUUUGAAUUAUCUCAAACAGAAAAGAAAUGGAAAAAGACAAAAAAAAAAAAAAUAAAUAAAGACGUGGAGGAAUGAAAUUAAGAGGUGUGUACAUGUAUCUGUGUGUAUAUACAUAUGCACACACACAUCUAUACAGGUGUAUAUGUAUAAACGUUUAGAUGUAUAUGUUUCAAUACAUGUGCACUCACACAUAUAUAUGCAGGCAGGCUUAUACAUGCAAAUGUGUGUGUAUAUAUAUAUAUAUAUAUUUGUAUCUAUAUGUAUAAAGCAAUAUAUGCAUUUGUGCAGGCAAUGGCAAAAUAAACUGUUGUUUGGUAAAGAGCAGGUUUGUAUCAGAUAUAUCUGUAAAUCUUCAAGCAGUGUGUAUCUGUGUGUGUGUGUGUGUGUGUGUAUGCUUGUAGAUGACCGUGUGCAUGUGUGCACCUGUGAGUGUUGUGUAUAUGUGUGUAUGAGUUUGACUAUAAUUAUGACUGUGGCUAUGACCAACAGCCCAACAAAUACUUUAAACAAUGUGAUUUUAACCAGAACAUUUGAUAGCAUAUGGACAAGGAAAAUUAAAACAAACUACAUACUUUAUACACAUAUUGAAUGCAACACACACCCCGAUUUGUUAAUGUAAUGAUAACGAUAUUAAUAAAAAUGAUAAUAUUAA